GAGUUUGAUCGUGGCUCAGAUUGAACGCUGGCGGCAUGCCUUACACAUGCAAGUCGAACGGCAGCAUGAUCUAGCUUGCUAGAUUAAUGGCGAGUGGCGAACGGGUGAGUAAUACAUCGGAACGUGCCCUGUAGUGGGGGAUAACUAGUCGAAAGAUUAGCUAAUACCGCAUACGACCUGAGGGUGAAAGUGGGGGACCGCAAGGCCUCAUGCUAUAGGAGCGGCCGAUGUCUGAUUAGCUAGUUGGUGGGGUAAAGGCCCACCAAGGCGACGAUCAGUAGCUGGUCUGAGAGGACGAUCAGCCACACUGGGACUGAGACACGGCCCAGACUCCUACGGGAGGCAGCAGUGGGGAAUUUUGGACAAUGGGCGAAAGCCUGAUCCAGCAAUGCCGCGUGUGUG
rnacentral:rRNA from 1 species